ACCAAGUCUGGAGCCCCUGCUCUCCACCAUAGCCCAGCCGAGUGCUGUCUCUGAGGGUGCAGGGUAAGCACUCAAGCAAGUUAUGUGCUUGAGGCAGAAAGGGUAUUUGAACAAGUUGUUUGCAGAAGGGCUGAUUACGCUGUGAUUCCCAAAGCACAAGGCAUCUAAAGGGCUCCAGAGAUGCAAGCUCUUCAGGGAGAGUCCCCUGCGCUUUACAGUUAACCCUCACAAGAUUGCUGGCCUUGUGGAAUUACUUCAUUUGUCUCACACAGCAGGAGGUCAGAAAGGAUCCAAGCAGAGGAGCAGCAGAUUGCCAAAGGCCCAUGAAGUGCAGGAGGGGUCAAGCAGUUUCAGACAUUAUAGUGCAAACGAACUGUCCAUUGUCUCUGGCAUCACCAUGCUCAACUUCCAAUAGAGACGGGGAGUUAACUAUCCUCCUUCUCAUCUGGAAGAAAACCUGUUCCUCUCUUUGUCUGGUAACCGAAGUUAAGUAUAGUAUCAGCAGUGCAAACUCUACCAUCUAAGUCUACAGCGAAGGACACACAAACCAUUUCAGGUCAAGCAAAUUGCAGCAGUGGGCAGCCCAGCUGGGCUUCUCAUUUCAGAGGAGAAGUUCUGAGCUGCAGACAGCUUUCCCUGGGAUUGCCAAGUGCCCCUGCUAGUCUCCUAUCAAGUCACGGAGGAAAAGAAUUUUAUCUGUAAUAAGCUCUAUUUUCCUGAAUUGUCGAGGGGGAGGAGAAAGAAAAUGAUUCCUGUAGCAGUUCUGGAAAACUUUAAAAUGUUAUUGCUAUGGUAACAGUUCCCUGUCACCAGUGAAAUGGGGGGAGAGGGAAGAGAAGCAUGGUAGGCGGAAUCUGAAUUUAACACCUUAGAUUUAAUCUGCACACCUCUGGCAGCAUGGUCUGUUGUGAAUAACAUCAGCAAUUUGCCUUUGGUUUGGUAUAAACAAAACUGCAGGUAAUGGAAAUUCAAGUUGAAAGCCUGAGAACAGUAGGGAGAAUCGAAAGUGGAACCAGAUUAAAAAAUCCCCACAAGCCAAACAUGUUAUAUAUGGUGGUGGGAAAAUCAGGUACAGAGCUGGGCUAGGAAAUGCUUCCACCAAGUCAACCCUGUGCAGUUUGCAGUGGAGCUCAUCUAUGUGAGCCAGAAGGACGUGGCAAAAGGCUGAACUUCUUUCUAGUAUUCUCAGAAGGGAAAGUAAAAUAGGCUGGAGAAGGCCUUUAAAGACUCAGAGCUGAAGAAGAGGUAGAAGAGGGGACCUCUGAUUGUAUCAGGCCAGAGGAAGUUUCAUUAAAACAAUGGAAUCUGGUGAAACAAACAUCCGUUACAAGGAACAGUUCUUAGGCGAGAGAAAGUCUUUCGGGUAACAAGACGGUGGGCAGGGGCUGAACAGCUUUAUGUUGCAUCUCUCAGGAGACACGACCCUGCAAACAGACUCCAUAUGCAUCUCAGGAAUUUAGGAUCAAUUCAAUAUUGGACCUGAAUCCCGCCCCUUUUGCGUGUGCGAGUGCUUGCGUGCAUGCAUAUAUGCAAGCAUAUACACAGGUGUUCUCUUUGAUUAGGGUUGCCACUCCUCCAGGAUUGGCCUGGAAUCUCCCAGAAUUGGCAUCGACCUCCCGGUGACUGUUGUAAGCAAUCUGGGAGAUUUUAAUAGGAUAUUUAAGAAAAUGACAUUAUGUCAUGCUGGGAAAAAAAAAAUCUCCUGGAAUAGCUGCAGUCAGAGUUGGCAACCCUAUCUUUGAUGCACAACUGCAAAACACGCUCAAUUUUCAAUGAACAUAAUGGAACUUAAGCAAGUGCUUAAGUGCUCUGCUGAAUUGGGGCCUGUAUCACUAUAGACACAUCCCCAGCAAUCUUGAAAUUAAAAAUGACAACACAAGUACCUGUUACAUAAGAGCUAGGUGUGAUUAUUGUGUGAUCACACCAUUGUAGUGGUUGAUAGCUCUUUGGCUGAACACUGUUCGAAAGAAGGGUAGAUCAUCAAGAGGGGAAAAAAUGGAUCCUGACACAAAGAAAGCUUUUGAAAGAUUGUUUCCUUUUUGGCUCAAUGAACAUUUGUAAUCCCAAAUUCUUGUUGCUAUUCCUACCACCUGGUGAAAAUGAAACUAAUCCAACACAUAGACUCUGAUCUCUGCCCACACAAUGAACAUGAAAGACCAACAUGCAUUAACCAGGCCCAUUACAACAACGUGCCUUUAAAUCUGCAGGUGCUGUGCUUUCUUUUAUAUCAACUCCCAACGUUUCAUUUUGGAUGGAUCUCUAAAUGGCACCGUUGAGGUGGCCUCUCCCCUUACUUUGCCAAGGAAAUCCACCAAAGGAGAAAUGAGUGUGAAGGUCCUCCAAGGAAAGGACACAUACACCUCUACUCCGAUAUAACGCUGUCCUCGGGAGCCAAAAAAUCUUACCGCAUUAUAGGUGA